rnacentral:rRNA from 1 species
GAUGAACGCUGGCGGCGUGCCUAAUACAUGCAAGUCGAGCGAACGGACGAGAAGCUUGCUUCUCUGAUGUUAGCGGCGGACGGGUGAGUAACACGUGGAUAACCUACCUAUAAGACUGGGAUAACUUCGGGAAACCGGCGCUAAUACCGGAUAAUAUUUUGAACCGCAUGGUUCAAAAGUGAAAGACGGUCUUGCUGUCACUUAUAGAUGGAUCCGCGCUGCAUUAGCUGGUUGGUAAGGUAACGGCUUACCAAGGCAACCAUGCAUAGCCGACCUACGAGGGGGAUCGGCCACACUGGAACUGAGACGCGGUCCAGACUCCUACGGGAGGCAGCAGUAGGGAAUCUGCCGCAAUGGGCGAAAGCCUGACGGAGCAACGCCGCGUGAGUGAUGAAGGUCUUCGGAUCGUAAAACUCUGUUAUUAGGGAAGAACAUAUGUGUAAGUAACUGUGCACAUCUUGACGGUACCUAAUCAGAAAGCCACGGCUAACUACGUG